UCUCAAUUUCAGCUGGCUUGGAAAAAUAUCUCAAAAGCCCUAAUAAGACUUAGUGAAGCUCGAUCGAUUUAUAUUUUUUUACUGAAUAAUGCUGUUCUUCGUAUCGCUUUGGUUCCUGAAUCUGAUUUUGAGCCACGUGCACUGGCUGGCUUGGAACAUAUUGAAAUUGAUACUGCUGCAAUUGGCCAUGUUUCCACCGAUUCUUGCCUGUACGUACAUUUGGUGUCAACACACUCGACGAACUCGCAGCUAUGCGCUAUUAAACGGAUACAACUUGCGGCGCAAAAGAGUGAGAGUGGUUGAAAAUCGCUUGAUGCCCAAUGUAAUGUAAUGUCCAAUAUAGAAGGUCAGCACUCAAGCUUUAAUGCCACCGAAAACACACACACGCACACGAAGUUGGCAAAUGUUUUGUUGAAUUUUGUUGUUGAUUAUCAAAAAUGUUUCACAACUGAACUCUGCAUUCACAUGUGUGCCGCUCAAAUGGAAAACGUUUGUUUUUCUCUAGUAAUUAAUUUCGAUUGGCGACCGACCGCCGAGCUAACGAACUAGAGGAUUGCUCGAAACGAACUGCGGCGAUCGGAUAAAUUGAAUUUUUCAACAACCUGUCAUUCAGAAGGCGAAAGAUGCCAAAAACAGUAACGAACGUGAGAGAGCGGACCGGAGCAGAAGAAACCGAGGUGCGAGAUAUACAUAGAUAUGGCCAGAAGUUGAGAUACACAUACAGGCGCAGUUCCAGAUACAUAUACAGAUAGAGGCCUCACUUGACUACGUAACGUAUUUUUAUUUUGUUGCCAUAUUAUUUGUACGUGUAUAUCGCUGGAUGGCACUGGAUUGCUGGAUUGGUAGUGAGUGAAAAGGGUUCGGGGUUCGGGGUCCGGGGUUAGGGAUUCACGGGAGAGUCAUCUUCAUCGUACGCCUGGAAUUUUUAACAUGUACGUGCGAGAGAGACUCCGGCCCAACUCUUUCCGCCCGAUUCCCUUUGUGGCCCGGACUCAACUGUUGCUGCAAGUCAAACAUUUACUCAUCGCCGGUUGAUGCGAACUCUCGUCCCCGAGUUGUAACCUUUGGGGGACGAU